UCUACUGAGGUGGAUCAAUGAUGAAAAUAG
rnacentral:piRNA from 1 species